UCCAAACUAUACAGAGUUCAUUCUUAAAUUAGAACUCCACCCUCUUGUACAAAUAUGAUCACUGGCAAGUAACCAGCUUCUCACCUGACUGAAGCUGUCAGUGAAGCUUGACAGCCCUGAGUCUACCACAAUGGAAAACUGUGGUGUUGAACAGGAAGCCAUGAGCUUUCCUUUUGGGUGAGAAUGAUUCAUCUUUUUAUUCAAACAUUUUUGUGCCCUUCUUGUUUUUGUUUUUGUUGUUGUUGUUGUUUUUUAUGCAUCACUGAUUUGUAAUCUCAGCAGCACAAGGCUUAAACUGCAAGGUGUUCCUUAACCUAACCCACAGUUUGAGAAAGCGGUUUACUGUAAGG
ensembl:lncRNA